UACGGAAGGCAGCAGGUGGGGAAUAUUGCACAAUGGGCGCAAGCCUGAUGCAGCCAUGCCGCGUGUAUGAAGAAGGCCUUCGGGUUGUAAAGUACUUUCAGUCGUGAGGAAGGUGUUAAGGUUAAUAACCUUAGCAAUUGACGUUAGCGACAGAAGAAGCACCGGCUAACUCCGUGCCAGCAGCCGCGGUAAUACGGAGGGUGCGAGCGUUAAUCGGAAUUACUGGGCGUAAAGGGCACGCAGGCGGUUAAUUAAGUUGGAUGUGAAUCCCCGGGCUUAACCUGGGAAUGGCAUUCAAGACUGGUUAGCUAGAGUCUUGUAGAGGGGGUAGAAUUCCAUGUGUAGCGGUGAAAUGCGUAGAGAUGUGGAGGAAUACCGGUGGCGAAGGCGGCCCCUGGACAAAGACUGACGCUCAUGUGCGAAAGCGUGGGGAGCAAACAGGAUUAGAUACC
rnacentral:rRNA from 1 species